GGGGGAUUUUUACAGCGUCGUCGAGCGGGCGUGAUGUGAAGAAUCGACCAAAGCUGCUCCUCUAAACCAUCGCAUCACCACUUGUAGGAUAUUUCUGAAACACCUGCACCUCUAUUGCUGGAAUCAGGUUCAGCUCUUAAAUUUCAUCCGUCUUCCUUUUCUCCUCGGGGUGUUUGGGCCCGUCACGUCACGCUGUGUGGACCAGAAGCAUCUCGUCCAGUGGUGAGAGAAGACAGGCGUGACGGAGGGUGGCAGAGCCCAGAGUCGACCCAAGUGCUCCAUUGAAAGAUGGAAGAUAUCGCAAGUCAGACCUGGAAGAUCUCUUGGCUUUUGUUUACCAAACUAUGUCAAGCUGUAUCCCUGGUUUGUGUUUGAUUUCUUUGAGUACAGCUGUUUGGGCUGCUUUGAACAACCUACAUGACAGGUUUCAUAGAUUCAGACUGUCUGCUUCAGCCUUUGUGCUUCUAGCUGGACAGAACAAGAUUCUUCAAAAAUAAGAGUCUCACCCUUAAAAAUUGUCACCAGAAUACCCAGGAAUCUUCUCACUCUUUACAAUGUUGUUAAACCACCGAGUCAAAAACUCUACUGCCACCUCGUCUAAACACUUCCAUAUCCUUAACAGGAUACACUGAUCCAAACAAACAAUAAUAAUUAACAACAAAAAAAAGUGAUUUCAAGCCAAAUCAUUGUCAUAAAUGGCCAUAUUUGAUACUUUUUAACCAAUUUCAAUAAUAAACUCAGCUUGACUGAAUGUUUUGAUAAAUACGAUCAAUUGGAUUGGUUUUAUGCUUGGAUUUAAUCGACCUUUUUUCUUGUAAAGUUCCUUAAAAUUACGUGUUGUGAAUUGGUGCAAUACAAACAAACUGGUUAACACUAAGAAUGGAACAAAUACACCUGUGUUUCGGGUAUAGUUACAUUUUAUAGAUCUUUCGUAAAUUGCAUUUUUGCAUUUGCUCAGGUUAUCUUUGCCUGGUAUUAAAACCUGUUCAAUCAUUUUUAAA